GGUUGCGAUCAUACCAGCACUAAUGCACCGGAUCCCAUCAGGACUCCGUAGUUAAGCGUGCUUGGGCGAGAGUAGUACUAGGAUGGGUGACCCCCUGGGAAGUCCUCGUGUUGCAACCC
rnacentral:rRNA from 1 species